rnacentral:rRNA from 1 species
AUGCGCAUCGACCACGACUCACACUGUCACACACACACACACACACCUAAGUAUAAUCAUGCCGCAGCAAGAGAGAGGGAGAGAGAUUCUUCCCGUUUCCUCACUCCCAUCCCCACUAUCUCCCACCCCACACACGCCGUGGGCACCUUGCCCUACAGCCAAGCAAGCGCAACGUCCCACCUAUCUCGCCUAUCCAUCCAAAAACAUCCGUCCGUCUUGCACCCCCAUGCAUUCGUCCGUCUCGAUCAGCACAGCAUGCCGACAUCGCCGCCGUCGCUCCUGGACCUCCUGAGCCCCUCCCCUCCUGCUCCUGAGGCGGCGGCGUCGUCUGGACACGGCGGCGCCACGGUGGUGCAGGUGGUGCCGAUGGACGUCUCCGAGGAGCUGCUGGGCAAGUUCAUGGAUGCCAGCGAGUUCGGCUUCGACUACGACAGGAGCGGCCUCUGGUCCCCGCUCGUGCUGCUGCGGCCGGAGGUCCUCGCGCUCGCCUCGGGCCGCGCCAAGCGCCCACGCCCGCGCCGGAGCUGGAGAAGGAAGAUGUUUUGCUGCUGGUGA